rnacentral:rRNA from 1 species
GAUGAACGCUGGCGGCGUGCCUAAUACAUGCAAGUCGAGCGAACAGACGAGGAGCUUGCUCCUCUGACGUUGGCGGCGGACGGGUGAGUAACACGUGGAUAACCUUCCUAUAAGACUGGGAUAACUUCGGGAAACCGGAGCUAAUACCGGAUAAUAUAUUGAACCGCAUGGUUCAAUAGUGAAAGACGGUUUUGCUGUCACUUAUAGAUGGAUCCGCGCCGCAUUAGCUAGUUGGUAAGGUAACGGCUUACCAAGGCAACGAUGCGUAGCCGACCUGAGAGGGUGAUCGGCCACACUGGAACUGAGACACGGUCCAGACUCCUACGGGAGGCAGCAGUAGGGAAUCUUCCGCAAUGGGCGAAAGCCUGACGGAGCAACGCCGCGUGAGUGAUGAAGGUCUUCGGAUCGUAAAACUCUGUUAUUAGGGAAGAACAAAUGUGUAAGUAACUAUGCACGUCUUGACGGUACCUAAUCAGAAAGCCACGGCUAACUACGUG